GGUGACCUCAAUCUCGGUUUUUCUGUCUCUCUUUGCAGUGGCCCAGCGCGUGGCACCGGGCCUGGCUUUAGGGCCUGGCUCAGAGGUGUCCCCAAGGGCACACAUCUGACCAGGUAAAUGAGCAGUAGGAGAGGGUUAAGCAAAGGUCUGAGGUGUGCCAGCAGCCGUGACUCACAGGAAACUCCCCAUCUCUGUCCCCAGCCUAAGAAUUUUCUAAGAAUUUCUCCCAGCAAUCCACGAAGGCAGGGGCGGUAUGAAGUCCAUGGGGAAGAGGACAUCAGAGAGGACCCGGCCAUUUCAGGGUCCCAAACCUAGAAACCAGAGCCCCGGAGAGUGAAUUCCCAUCUCCACAGGCAGCGUCAAGCAGAGAAGGACAAGGCAAAUGCGGGGAGAAGAGUUAAGGGAUGCUUUGCUAGGACAGCGAAGUUCCAGACAGUUCAACCCCAUUGUGGUACCGCAGGGGAGCAGAACUCACCACCCCAAAAUACAGCUCUUUGGCACAAGGAUUAAUUCAGGCCCCAUUUACUCCUGUUCUACAUUUCACCUUGCAUCUGAGUCAACCAAAGAAUGAUGUCCCCGUCUCAAGGGGGAAGCAAGACAGUGAAUCAUUCUCAGAGUUGAGUUUCGUCCUAGGCCCCAAAACACCUGAAAAUAUCUAAGAAGAACCGAAUCCCGAGCUGGAGGACAUGAGUUUCGAACAAACCACCGGCAUCAACACCCCUGCCUUGGAUGGUUUAAGGAGUAACAUCUACUGUUCACCCGGAUGGGACCCUACCCUGGAUUCCUGAAGGGCAUCUACCCGGGACCCUUGUCCAGUGUAAACCCCCAACCCCAAGCAGCAGGCGGACCCACCUCUCCUCUUUUCGCAGUCUCCCAGACACCCUGUCUGCCCUACUCUUUCUCUCACACUAUUCAGGAAACUCGGCUCUCUUCCUCCUGUCUGUGUUUGAUUCCUAUUCUUCCAGAGGCCAAGGAUCUUCUUGGUACGUCUUGUGGGACCCACUCUGGGUCCUUAGAAUGGCCUGCCUAUACCUCAAAGAGAUGCCUUUCUCGUUUGAAAAGGAAAUCCAGUGAUCCAUUUUCUUCCCUUUAUGAGUUAAUAUUUCUUGGAAAAUUUUUUUCUUUUUACCCAAAAAACACUGAGCAGCUACUACAAAUCACUAGCACCGUGGUGUUCCCAGACAGACGGACCUGGUACAGACCUAGUGCCAAGCGAAGAGACACAUAGGUAAAUGAAUUCGACAACAGAGGAUUUAUUUUGGGAGGCCAGGGAGACGGCGCCCCAGCACACCCUGGGCUAUUUGCCUCCAGCUAGCAUGUCGAGAUGCCAAAGGGCCUGGCAAAAAGUCGGUUCAAUGGGGCCUGGACAAGAAAUGCCAA